UUAGCCAUAAAGCGAAAGAAGGGACUGGGGGGAGUACUCUGCUACAGAAUUAUUGGACUGUCCGUCACUUCCGGCCUUCAAAUCUGCCGUCGACUCUCGCCGGCGACCUAUUUGCCGGCCAUUCUCAGCCGUUGAUUUUAUUUUCCUUUAAGAACGACGACAAAACCGCACCACUCACUCACCUCCAUUUCUUCAACCAUUUAUAGCCCCCGAUUUCCCCUCAGAUUCUUCCUUCCCCUUACGCAGCCAUCUGUUUUAGUCCGCAACUUUCCGCGAUUCCUCAAACUCUCUUCCGAACUUAUAACUGAUGGCAAUGGCGAUGCUUCCCAUUUUUCACAUAUUUCUCAAUCAUUUUCAUUCAGAUGUGAAGGGGGUCUCUCUCUCUUUCGUCCUUUCUUUUUUGUAUUUCUUGUUUUAGAUCUGCCCAAACUUUUUGAAAUUUUUUAUUUCGUUUGUUGAUGGUUUGGGUGUUUUUGAUUUCCCCUGUUAUUGGUUGUGUUUCUUUGAUUCAAUGGGAGGUAGAGUCAGUGGAGGCAGCGGUUCAUCGACCUCUUCUUGGGAUUUGUACUGAUUUGUAUCACAAAAACACGAACCGGUCGAUAAACCUCUGCAUCCAGCGCUCCCACCCUUGUUGGUUGUUCGUUUAUAAUUCUAGGACAACUGGGAACAGUGAACCUCUUUUGCAGUUCGUUUCUUUGACCAUCUGGGACCCCUUUGUGUUUCUGUCUGCAUCUUGAUUAGGGGGCAAAGGCAUAACACAAUUUUCUUCCCAUUUUGCUUUUUUCUGCUUCGUUUUGGAAGAUGAGAAUUUCUCUGGGAAAAAAAAAUUGAAGAUGAUUUUGUAUUGUAGUGUAGUUUUGAUUGAAACUGUUCUUAUUCAUACUCUCUUGUAGUUAUGGUAUUGUUUGGUUUGGUUGCAGCUCUAAAUCUUUCCCCCAACCAGAUGAUAUUAUCCGGUUACUACUUAUAGGAUAGGAUCAUAAAUUCUGAGCUCCUACGGAUUUAGUGGAAUGCUAUAUUCAAACUAUGUAGAUGAUAUUACCAGUAUUGAUUAAGCUAUCUCCUUUUGGAACUUUCCCAUUCUUGGUGUUGUUUUGUUCAAUAUUAUGAUAUCUCUUGGUUCUUAAACUGAAACUCAGUUUCUGUUUUCUGUCUCGAUCUUUUGCUAUUUCUUAUGCUGUUUACCGUAUUUCUCUUCUUGUUUUUCAAUUCAAAGUUGCUCUUCUCUGGAUAGGAUAGAACUGUUCCAUGUUAGCUCAUUGGAUGCUAAUGGUGUUUAUGCUGAUGCCUUGUUGUGCAGACUCUGAUCAUGUCUUUUCCUUUCCAUUUGGACUUGUAUGAGAUUAUGGUGCAAGAAUUCUAACAUGGUUGUGGGAAUUGUUCUAUAAUUGAUGUAUCAUAGAUCUGAGCAUUAAAAGGUCUUGAUGUGACAAAUCCCUUGAUUGGUUACUUGUUUCCACUGAUUAUGGAUUUGGAAACUACUCUGCCAGAUUCCUAUGAAUUUGAUGCUUUCCCAUGAUGUAUGAGAUCCCAUAUGAGCGGGAGAGUGAAACGAAGGGUGUAAAAGACGUUUUAAAACCAUGAUGAUGAUGAAGAUACGUAGCAGGCCAAAGCGGACAAUAUCGGUUAGCGUUUAGGGAAAAGGGGCCAACUUUAAUGAAAGAAUCUAAGGGAUGGCAUGCAAUACCAGUUCAACCUUCAUUGCCGUGUUGAAAGCAACAGUUCUGAAAGCGCCAAGCUGCCAAGGCAGGCCCAGUGGAUGAGGUAUCAGAUUCCUUCCUUUAAAAACUCGUGUUUGUAAAUGAAAUGAACUCUCAUCAUUCUGGUGAAGCUUCUCACAGCUACCUUCAUAAAUCUCAUCAACACUAUAUUCUGAUAUGUUAAUCCACCUUUUUUUUUUCUGUA